rnacentral:tRNA from 1 species
GCUGGAUGGGCGGUGGCGCCCUGGCCUGGGCCGCCGGCUCGGGCGUGCAGGCGCUCGCCACGAGUUCGAGCAUCGUGGUCAGCU